GACGAACGCUGGCGGCGUGCUUAACACAUGCAAGUCGAGCGGUAAGGCCCUUUCGGGGGUACACGAGCGGCGAACGGGUGAGUAACACGUGGGUGACCUGCCCUCAGCUCUGGGAUAAGCCUGGGAAACUGGGUCUAAUACUGGAUAUGACUCCACGGUGCAUGUCGUGGGGUGGAAAGCCUUGUGCGGCUGAGGAUGGGCCCGCGGCCUAUCAGCUUGUUGGUGGGGUGANGGCCUACCAAGGCGACGACGGGUAGCCGGCCUGAGAGGGCGACCGGCCACACUGGGACUGAGACACGGCCCAGACUCCUACGGGAGGCAGCAGUGGGGAAUCUUGCGCAAUGGGCGAAAGCCUGGCGCAGCGACGCCGCGUGAGGGAUGACGGCCUGG
rnacentral:rRNA from 1 species